UACGAAGGGGACUAGCGUUGUUCGGAAUCACUGGGCGUAAAGCGCACGUAGGCGGAUAUGUCAGUCAGGGGUGAAAUCCCGGGGCUUAACCUCGGAACUGCCUUUGAUACAGCAUAUCUUGAGUCCGAUAGAGGUGGGUGGAAUUCCUAGUGUAGAGGUGAAAUUCGUAGAUAUUAGGAAGAACACCGGUGGCGAAGGCGGCCCACUGGAUCGGUACUGACGCUGAGGUGCGAAAGCGUGGGGAGCAAACAGGAUUGAGAA
rnacentral:rRNA from 1 species